CCCGCAGGAGAGAGGGCUCAGCCCCGCCGAAGGCGCAAACUCCCAUAAACGCUCAGGCACAGGCACUGUGG
rnacentral:ncRNA from 1 species